AGCAAUGAAGUAGUAAUGUUUGAGAAUGCAACAUGGUUCGGUAUAUCAACGAUGAUGAGAUCUGAAGAAGACGAGUGGUGGAAAGUUUAAGGUUAAAGCUAAGAAAGAAAUAAGAAUUUUAAAGUGGGCCAAAAGGGAGCAAUCUUUAUAAAAGAAGAAUAAGGUUAAGGAAAGUUAAGGAACAAUGAUAUAGGGCCGAG
rnacentral:lncRNA from 1 species